rnacentral:rRNA from 1 species
UACGUAGGGUGCGAGCGUUGUCCGGAAUUACUGGGCGUAAAGAGCUCGUAGGUGGUUUGUCGCGUUGUUCGUGAAAACUCACGGCUUAACUGUGAGCGUGCGGGCGAUACGGGCAGACUAGAGUACUGCAGGGGAGACUGGAAUUCCUGGUGUAGCGGUGGAAUGCGCAGAUAUCAGGAGGAACACCGGUGGCGAAGGCGGGUCUCUGGGCAGUAACUGACGCUCAGGUGCGAAAGCUAGGGGAGCGAACAGG